rnacentral:rRNA from 1 species
GUCUACAGCCGUGCCACCCUGAACGUGCCGGAUCUCGUCUGAUCUCGGAAGCUAAGCAGGGUCGGGCCUGGUUAGUACUUGGAUAGGAGACCACCUAGGAAUACCAGGUGCUGUAGGCG